GCAGCUCUGUCGGCUCACCUUUGCGGUUGAGUGUUUUUAUUCGGUCAACUUAUAGAAAAUAGAAUGGUGAACACAAUGGUAAAAAAAUCGCACGAAAUAGAAAACGAGAAGUGGCUCAUCGGAGAUGGUUUCAAGUUUUGCUCUCGGCGACAUCGCCGAACUUUACCUGUAGUUUCUGGCUCAUUCACCGUUCUUUUUAUUCCUAUUUAGUCAUCGGGGUGCUUAAAAUUAAAUUUCGAGCGAAUAGAAGCAUUUUUACUUUUUUUAGCGGUCGGAAGUGGCUCCGGCACGUUGGCGGGCGGCAGUCG
rnacentral:lncRNA from 1 species